GAUGAACGCUGGCGGUAUGCUUAACACAUGCAAGUCGAACGGACUCUUCGGAGUUAGUGGCGGACGGGUGAGUAACGCGUGAGAAUCUGGCUUUGGGUUCGGGACAGCCACUGGAAACGGUGGCUAAUACCGGAUGUGCCGAGAGGUAAAAGAGAAAUUGCCUGAAGAUGAGCUCGCGUCUGAUUAGCUAGUUGGUGAGGUAAAGGCUCACCAAGGCAGCGAUCAGUAGCUGGUCUGAGAGGAUGACCAGCCACACUGGGACUGAGACACGGCCCAGACUCCCACGGGAGGCGGCAGUGGGGAAUUUUCCGCAAUGGGCGAAAGCCUGACGGAGCAAUACCGCGUGAGGGAAGAAGGCUCUUGGGUUGUAAACCUCUUUUCUUAGGGAAGAACAAAAUGACGGUACCUAAGGAAUCAGCAUCGGCUAACUCCGUG
rnacentral:rRNA from 1 species